GCAAAUGGCUUGAGCAUGCGGACCCAGACUUCACUCGUAAUGAAGGGGUCAGCGGUUCGAAUCCGCUCGUCGGCU
rnacentral:tRNA from 1 species